rnacentral:SRP_RNA from 1 species
UUGUGGGCUAGGUUGGAGCGGUAGCAGUGUUCUAUUACCACAAAUCUGCUUUAGGUGGAACCGAAGCUUUUGGGGCGAAUGCCUUUCGUUCGAAUGGCCAAUGGUUGGACGUUGAACGCUUGUCCCCAAAGGCUGAAAGCACUAGUCAAUCCGCCAGAUUCGGAAGAAAGCAACGGUAGCUAUUGUUUUGAGUGCUUUGGAAUUCACAGGCGGGAGGAAAAUCACUGGGUUAACUAUUCGAAUACAAUGCACUCCACUCAAGGGCGUGCCCACAU